CUUGCAGGAUUGCAACAUGCUGUUCCAGGGCGGAUCGUUCUUCGUUCACGAGGGUAUGCCCUACUGUGAGAUCCAUUACCACGCCAAGAGAGGUUCGCUCUGCGCCGGAUGCCACAAGCCGAUUACCGGUCGGUGCAUCACGGCCAUGUUCAAGAAGUUUCACCCGGAACACUUUGUCUGCUCCUAUUGCCUGAAACAGUUGAAGAAGGGCACGUUCAAAGAGCAAGGAGACAAGCCGUACUGCCACGGAUGUUUCGAGCGCCUAUUCGGAUGAAAAACCAAAACAAUUCCGGAAAGGAAUGAAACAACAACAGCAAACAAUAAUGAUUUUGAAAAAUGAUUCAUUUCUUCUGUUUUUUAAUGAUUGGGAGGGGAAGAACAAUUGACGACGGACUCCACGUUUACAAUGUAAUAACACAUGUGAAAAGAUAACCACCCCCCCCCCCACUCAAUCCACAUCGAAUUCUAUUUUUCAAUGUAAUCCCCGCCCGCCCACGCCCCCCAUGAAGGAAACCAGCGCAUAAAAAAAGGAAAAGAAAAUGACACGCACACACAUUUUCUAUAUACUUACACUAUACUACAUUACAGUAUAAAUCUUUAUUCGAUUUCUACCAUAAAUAUUCUUAGGGCGACAUCCCAUGAAACCAAUUUUUUUCCUGGUUAAUCGGUUAACCAUUUUUUGGGGGGGUUUUCCAGCCAACGUCUUUUGCCUCUAUCGGCUCAUCUUUCAAAGUGGUUUCUCUAGUUUGUUUAGUUGUCAUUGGAUAAACCAAGUGGUGAGGGAAACAAAAAAGGAAAUGAAGUUUUAAACCUCCCUCCCGCUCCUAACGCUUGAUUCACCGCCGAGACGCACAAAAAACUACGCAAAACUAAUGAUGAAACUCUGAAAAAAGAAAGAAAUACUUUUAGUCCCAUAACAAAAAGACAAAAAAUAGAAAAACCAAAAUGAGAAUCAACUGCUGUUGCUGAUGGUUUAAGAAUUGAAUUUGGUAGGCAGGUGUAUUUAUUUAAUUAUGUAUAAAAAUGUACAAAACAUUUAGCAAUGAUGACGAAGGAACAAUCUUUCCAGAUUUAAAAAAAAGGGGGGAAGUUGGGAUGUCGGAGGAUAAAAUAGGAGGAAAUGAAUCUUUUUGUUUUCGUCAGUGUAAAAAUUCGAUUUGGUUU